rfam:Oryza glaberrima chromosome 2 Oglab02_0023_21, whole genome shotgun sequence.
CCUCCGUACCAAAAUUGAUUUUCCACUCCCAACUUUGACCAUUCGUCUUAUUUGAAUUUUUUUUAAAAAAAAUAAAAACAUAAGUUACGAGUAAAGUACUAUUCAUAUUUUAUCAUCUCAUAACAACAAAAAUGCUAAUUAUAAAAAAAUUUUAAAUAAAACGGACGAUCAAAGUUGAACACGGAAACUUAUUACUACACUAUUU